rnacentral:rRNA from 1 species
UGCUGGGUGAAGGUAGACGCUUGGUAAGCACCUGCCCGGUGCCUUUGGGUAAACGGUGGUCUUUUAGGUUUUAAUGUAGCGUAAUACCUCGCCCUUUAAUUGUGGGCUUGCAUGAAGUGUCCACGAGGGGGUUACUGUCUCUUUCUAAUAGGGUAAAAUCGAAUUGAAGGUGCAAUUGCCUGUAUGGGGGUAAAAGACGAUAAGACCCCGUGCAGCUUUAUACUAUUAGUUAUAUAUGGUCGAAAUGUUAUUUGGUUGGGGCAACAGGGGAACAAGAAAAACUUCCUUGAGUGUGAGGUAGCGUAGAACCUGCGGUGUGGGUCCUGUAUGGGGGGUUCCGUUUUUGGCGCAGGAAAGGUGGCCUAAGGGCUGAGAGGACGGAUCUUAGGGAUGUUACUUUAGGGAACUGGCGGGUUACGAUCUGGUUUGACAGAUAAGCGGAGAAGUUACGCCGGGGAUAACAGCGCAAUCUUUAAUUGGAGUCCUUAUCUGAUUAUGGGCUUGCGACCUCGAUGUUGAAUUAGCGUGAACCUAUGGGUGUAGAGGCUCAUGGGAAGGACUGUUCGUCCUCUAAGACGCU